rnacentral:tRNA from 1 species
GGGGAUAUAACGCAGUGGUAGCGUGUUUGCUUUGCAAGCAAAAAGUCAUGAGUUCGAAUUAUAAAGCCUCAUUAUCUCCA